CCUACGGGGGGCAGCAGUGAGGAAUAUUGGUCAAUGGACGAGAGUCUGAACCAGCCAAGUAGCGUGAAGGAUGACUGCCCUACGGGUUGUAAACUUCUUUUAUAUGGGAAUAAAACAGGGUAUGCAUACCCUCUUGUAUGUACCAUAUGAAUAAGGAUCGGCUAACUCCGUGCCAGCAGCCGCGGUAAUACGGAGGAUCCGAGCGUUAUCCGGAUUUAUUGGGUUUAAAGGGUGCGUAGGUGGUUUUUUAAGUCAGUUGUGAAAUUUUGAGGCUCAACCGUAAAAUUGCAGUUGAUACUGGCAGUCUGGAGUACAGUAGAGGUAGGCGGAAUUCGUGGUGUAGCGGUGAAAUGCUUAGAUAUCACGAAGAACUCCGAUUGCGAAGGCAGCUCGCUGGACUGUAACUGACACUGAUGCUCGAAAGUGUGGGUAUCAAACAGGAUUAGAUACCCGAGUAGUC
rnacentral:rRNA from 1 species